rnacentral:tRNA from 2 species
GCGGGCGUAGUUCAGUGGCAGAACGGUAGCUUCCCAAGCUGCAUGUCGUGGGUUCGAUUCCCAUCGCCCGCUCCA